UUUUUAAAGCUUCAUAUCAUCCACCAUUCCACCUCGCCAGCAGUCACCCACCAUUUAUCCCACUCCUACCCACAAUCCCCUCUGAGGAACUGCCAGAGACAGAGGAGCCGCCACGCAGGUCAGCCGGGCCACCAUUACACACCGACUGUUUUAUCUGCUUCAAACAGUCGGUAAUGGAGAAAGACAAAACCGAGUCAGCGGAGAACCCGCGUGUGAAGUAAUUUUUCCGUUUUCUGUGACCCCCUGUGGUGCCGUUCUAUUUGUCACAUGGAUGCACGUUUCUCAGGACGGGAGCAGUUCCUGUUUGUGUCAGACGAAGUCAGUGAGGCCUGGUGUCAACAACGCUCCGGUUCUUCACACACCUGCCAGAGAUCCAGCAUCACACCUCGCAGCCUCAGAGUCGGCUUGUGACCCAGAGUCCUGUCUCCUGGCACAUCUCUCAUGUUGAUUGGUGGCCCUGUGGUUGCACGUUGAUCCAUUGUGAUGUCAUAUGUCUGUGCUGCUCCUGGUUCCUAUGGCGAUGCGCAGCAGAGGGAAAGCU